rnacentral:rRNA from 1 species
GACAGAGGUCCCGAGCGUUAGGCGGAAUCAUCUGGGCUUAAAGCGUGUGUAGGCGGAUUUGUAAGUACCUUGUGAAAUCCCACGGCUUAACCGUGGAACUGCUUGGUAUACUGCUUAUCUUGAGCCACUUAGGGGCAACCGGAACAAACGGUGGAGCGGUGAAAUGCGUAGAUAUCGUUGAACGCCAAUGGUGAAAACAGGUUGCUGGGAGUGAUGCUGACGCUGAGACACGAAAGCCAGGGAGGCGAACGGG